rfam:Pelodiscus sinensis unplaced genomic scaffold scaffold23, whole genome shotgun sequence.
UAGCUUUGGGACAGCAUAGCUAUUAAAACUGGAACAAUACAGAUCUUGUUAGCAUGACCCCUGAGCAAGGAUGGCAAGCUAAUUUGUGAAGCAUUCAAAAUGAUA